rnacentral:rRNA from 1 species
CAGCCGCCGCGGUAAUACGAAGGGGGCUAGCGUUGUUCGGAAUUACUGGGCGUAAAGGGCGCGUAGGCGGCCAUUCAAGUUAGAUGUGAAAGCCCUGGGCUCAACCUAGGAAUUGCAUUUGAUACUGUUUGGCUUGAGUUCGGGAGAGGUGAGUGGAAUUCCCAGUGUAGAGGUGAAAUUCGUAGAUAUUGGGAAGAGCACCAGUGGCGAAGGCGGCUCACUGGACCGACACUGACGCUGAGGCGCGAAAGCGUGGGGAGCAAACAGGAUUAGAUACCCGAGUAGUCCCUGUCUCCUUAUA